rnacentral:rRNA from 1 species
UACGGAGGGUGCAAGCGUUGUUCGGAUUUAUUGGGCGUAAAGCGUGCGCAGGCGGUUUUGUAAGUCUGUCGUGAAAGCCCCGGGCUCAACCUGGGAAUUGCGAUGGAGACUGCAAGGCUUGAAUCUGGCAGAGGGGGGUAGAAUUCCACGUGUAGCAGUGAAAUGCGUAGAGAUGUGGAGGAACACCGAUGGCGAAGGCAGCCCCCUGGGUCAAGAUUGACGCUCAUGCACGAAAGCGUGGGGAGCAAACAGG